CGAUGUUCUUGAUUGGUAGAAGAGAGGAAUAUAUAUAUAUAUAUAAAAAAAAAGGAUAGUGGGCAGGGGUCUGCGAAGAGAGGGGUUGUGAGGGAGGAAGGAGCCCCUUCAGGAGUAGGAGGCUGCCGUUGUGUGAAUUAGAUGAGGAAACAAGAUCUGUUAACUCAGGAGGGGAGAGAAAGAAAAAAAGAAGGGAGGGGAAGAAAGACAGAGGGGAAGAGUGAAUGGAGGAGAGAGAAAGAGAGAAAAAGAAGGAAGGGAAAGACAGAAAGAAGGAAGGGCGAGGGAUGUGCCUGAGCCUGUCAGAGGUCUGAGGGGAACGAGGGGCUAUGGUGGCAGCGGCGGCAAGGAAGGGCCCAGUCAACCACUGCUGCUGUUUGGGGCUACGGAGGCCACUGGCAAAGGGAGGUAGGCAAGGGAUGGGCACAGGACUGUCAGCAGCCUGAGGGGAACGAAUGGCUAUGGCGGUGGCAGUAGGGAAGAAGGGCCCGGUCAACCGCUGCUGCUGCUGCUCCUGUGGGAGGAGCAGGAGCAGGCUCGGGUGAGGAGGUCUCUGGGGCUAGGGGGCUGCAACUUGGCCAAUAGACACCAGCAAUGCUGCAGCCACAACCAAGAGGGGUGAGGGGGUGGAGUAAAGGAAUGGAGGAGUGACCAAGAGGGAUGAGGAGGUUGGAAGCAACAGGAUGCAGGAGGAGGAACAGGAGUGCAACUCAGCUGCUGGUAUAUGCCUGUAUUCAAACUGAACAUGAAUAAACAAAACAGCUGAAAUGGCCAUGAGGACUGGAGUGCAUGUAACAAUCUGAAGACACAUUUUAGUGCUGCAUCACUCAUUUUCUACUCCAGGAAUUCAAAGCGUGCAAGAGUGUAAAUUGAAGAAGAAGAAGAAGAAGAAGAAGAAGAAGAAGAAGAAGAAGAAAUGGCACAGAAUCACAGCUAAGUCAUUAAAUGUGCAGGAGAAAAGACUAAGCAUGACUUCAGGAAGUUAGGGAUCAGCAAAAAUAUCCAGAGAAUCAGGAGGCACUUAAAACCACAUCAGCACAUUGAUUGUUUUGUUCCCUCCAUUUGAGGCUCUACAGGAGUCUUUGCAGAAUUAGAGGAGGGAGGAAUGCUGUGCAAGCUCAAUAAACCAGAAUUGUGUGACAACAUUA